rnacentral:rRNA from 1 species
GAUGAACGCUAGCGGCAGGCUUAACACAUGCAAGUCGAGGGGUAUGCUUCUUCGGAAGCAGAGACCGGCGCACGGGUGCGUAACGCGUAUGCAAUCUACCUUUUACAGAGGGAUAGCCCAGAGAAAUUUGGAUUAAUACCUCAUAGUAUUAUAGAAUGGCAUCAUUUUAUAAUUAAAGUCACAACGGUAAAAGAUGAGCAUGCGUCCCAUUAGCUAGUUGGAAGGUAACGGCUUACCAAGGCUACGAUGGGUAGGGGUCCUGAGAGGGAGACUCCCCACACUGGUACUGAGACACGGACCAGACUCCGUACGGGAGGCAGCAGUGAGGAAUAUUGGACAAUGGGCGCAAGCCUGAUCCAGCCAUGCCGCGUGCAGGAUGACGG